CCUACGGUGGUCAGCAGUGGGGAAUAUUGCACAAUGGGGGAAACCCUGAUGCAGCGACGCCGCGGGACGGAAGAAGUAUUUCGGUAUGUAAACUUCUAUCAGCAGGGGAGAAAAUGACGGUACCUGACUAAGAAGCCCCGGCUAACUACGUGCCAGCAGCCGCGGUAAUACGUAGGGGGCAAGCGUUAUCCGGAUUUACUGGGUGUAAAGGGAGCGUAGGCGGUGCAGCAAGUCAGAAGUGAAAGCCCGGGGCUCAACUCCGGGACUGCUUUUGAAACUGUUGAACUAGAUUGCAGGAGAGGUAAGUGGAAUUCCUAGUGUAGCGGUGAAAUGCGUAGAUAUUAGGAGGAACACCAGUGGCGAAGGCGGCUUACUGGACUGUGACUGACGUUGAGGCCCGAAGGCGUGGGGAGCAAACAGGAUUAGAUACCCUGGUAGUC
rnacentral:rRNA from 1 species